rnacentral:lncRNA from 1 species
GGAGAAGAAAGGUCGGGAAAGUAGAAGAAUAUGUCUCACGUAAGCAAAAUGAUACAUCAAAUUCUCCAAACCCUAUAUGUAAAAUGUGAUUUGUCCAUCCAUCACAUAUAUAGAGCAAAUAAUAGACAUUCCCAUUACUUAGCCAAAAGGGUCAUAAUGGAUAAAAAUAUGAUUGUGGUUAAUGUUAGGAAUAUAUCAAAUAUGUUCAAUAAAAAUUAAAGUUUUUUUUUUAAUAAAAAAAUAGAAAGUAUCGAAAG